rnacentral:rRNA from 1 species
GACGAACGCUGGCGGCGUGCUUAACACAUGCAAGUCGAACGGUGAAGCGCCUUCCUUUUUGGUGGGUGUGGAUGAGUGGCGAACGGGUGAGUAACACGUGAGUAACCUGCCCCCUUCUUCUGGAUAACCGCAUGAAAGUGUGGCUAAUACGGGAUAUUCUGGGUCUGUCGCAUGAUGGGUCUGGGAAAGAUAUUGUUUCGGUGGGGGAUGGGCUCGCGGCCUAUCAGCUUGUUGGUGGGGUGAUGGCCUACCAAGGCGGUGAUGGCUAGCCGGCAUGAUAGGAUGGACGGUCACACUGGGAAUGAGACACGGACCAGACUCCUACGGGAGGCAGCAGUGGAGAAUAUUGCACAAUGGGAGCAAGCCUGAUGCAGCGACGCCGCGUGAGCGAUGGAGGCCUUCGGGUUGUGAACCUCUUUCGCCAGUGAAGCAGGCCUGCCUAGUUUGUAGGUGGGUUGACGGUAGCUGGAUAAGAAGCGCCGGCUAACUACGUG